UUUCUUAUUUUUUGUUUUUCUUGAUUGUGUGAGGGUUUGCCCCCUCGGAACGUUCUCUAAUACAAUUUUCUUUGUUGCUCAUCAAAAAUAAACAAAUCAGGUUGCAGCUCGAAUUUUGCAGGAUACAGCUGUUGGAAAGAACUAUGCUUCAGAUAAGCUUAGUGGAGCAAGGAGAUUGCGGGAUGCCAUAGUUCUUGGGUACCAAUUGCAAAGAGUCCCUGGAAGAGAUCUUUGCAUUCCGGAUUGGUAUGCAAAUGCUGAAAAUGAACUUGGUCGUCGUACUGGAUCACCUACUGCUAACAUGACUGAGAAUAGCUUCCAUAUGAAUUACACUGAAGACUUUGAAAUUCUUCAUGGAGAUCUUCAAGGGCUUCAGGAUACAAUGAAUUUCUUGAAUAGCUUGGCAGAACUUGAUGCUGUCAAUGAUUCUGGAAAGAAUACAGAGAAGCCCUGGAUGCGGGAACGCAUGGCUGCUGCUGGUAUCUUCAAUUGGGAGGUCUUUUUCAUUCCGCUAAAACUCACUGCAUUUUCUUACUUACCAUUGAUUGGGCAGUGCUGGUAGCACUUUACUAGUUGACAGUAAAAUUCAGUCGUCAGUCUGUAUUUUUUACUUUUUUGUCGCUCCAAACAGUAAUAUCAGGAUGACCUAUCGCUGUCUUGUCUUUGCUACACCAAAUGGGUGCUCAUUUGUUUGCAUGUGAGGCCAUUGGUCUAAAGUAAUACACAUGAGGUUAAGCAAAUUGCUAGACAUUAAAGUGUGUAGUCCUACUAAGAUUUUUUUUUCUUUGAUGCUAGAUGUUCGUUUCUUCUGUUCUCCUUUUAUGUUUUUCUUCAAUUCUCAUUUGUUGAACUCCCACUUUGAGUGAGUGUGUGUGGAGGGGAAGGGUGACUCAGGAUUCACUUUCAGUCAUGAAUUUAUUUUAUUUUAAUAUUUUCUGAGCAACAUCAUAUAAUGUUACUUACCCAAAAAAAAAACAUCAUAUAAUGUUUGGCCACAAAAUAUGAUUCAGUCUUACAACUAUUGAUUUUUUAUUUUUUAAAAAUUUUACUCUAUGAAUGACUGCUGCAGCUUAUUUUAUUUAUGAAAUAAUAGGGAGUACAGUGUUCUUGACUACUUGUAGAUUUCUAGCUGUUUCACUAAGAAGCAUGGACACGGACACGUGACA